CUAAAAAUAAUAAUUAAAAAUACAAAAUGGGUUAAAUUCGGACAAAAAUUAAGCAACGGGUCAGCCCCCUUGCGAGUUUUAUUUAUUUAUUUAUCAUAUUGCAAUCCUCGAUCAACUUUUUAUAUUAAUUUUUUAAAAAAUUUCGAUAGUGGGGCUGUUUCCUAAGGUUUAGGACAGUGCCCAGUUAGUAUGAUGUUCGUAUCAUCGGCUGGCUUGUGAAACACUACAUCACAUUGCGGGUUUUGUUCUUUUUUUGUUCUUCCUAUCUCUCUCUAUGUCAACCCUCUCUUUCUCUAUACCCUGGAGUGGCCAAGCAUCCAGCUGAGAAUUUUUUGCCAUAGAAGUGGGAUAAGUAGUGUGAUUCUGGCAAGAAUCCGACCACCAGAUAUAAUGGCAAACCAAGGUAACAAUGAUGGAGGAUAAAAGGACAAGGUCCUAUUAAACCUGAAAGAGAAACAUGUAUCGGAAUUAGUAUUUAAAGGAAAGGAGAGGCUAAGAAUUUAUAUCAACGAGCCCUCUAGAACCGUCAGAGCAUGGCCCAUUACAGACGAGCAUCGAGAGAUUUGUAGAAAUGGCAGGGUUGUCAAAAAGGUAACGUCUCGAAACUAACAUCACCCAUUUGGUGGCAUGCAUAAGAGAGAUGAUGCCGACGUGUACGAUGCAUAGUAGAUUCACCGGCUUAUGUCACAUAUUUAAACGAUUGGCUCGGAGAUUGCCCGGAUAAGGGAAGACUGCUGACACUUAAAUUCAGCUGGUUGAAAAAUAUAUUUAUGAAGCCACUUGGGUGUUAUACAAUUGGGUAUUGAGCAACACACGACGGCCUACUUACUCUUAACUAUCGACAAUACCAUUUUUCCAGUUCAAAAGGCAAAGAACUUCCUACGAGAUACCUGACUCUGUUUGAAGAUUUUCAUCACGGGGGAUCAUAUGCACGAGGAGCGAUGUAUCUAGCAUAUAUGUUUUGCUUGCCACAGAAGUUUUUGACAAUUAAACCCAUGGACCGAAAUAGGGCAAAUGAGGAAGCCAAUAGCCAUACAAGCCAUCACUUAAGAGGCUCGACUACCCUAUUUCAAGUAAUAAACCUUGUUUUUAAUUUCUAUGUUGGUGAAACAAAGUCUAUCAUAAAAAAAAUCUAAACUUUUUGGUUUAUUGUCCACAUGGUACGACCUUCUUGUCUAAAAGAGAGACCAUUAGGGUAAAAAAUGAAGCAAAUUUCAUUCCACAAUUAUUGGAUCAGAUAUUCAAGGAGGUGGGAGAGAACUACAUGGUCAAAGUUGUUACAAAUAAUUCCAAAGCAUGUGUUUCAGUGGGGUCAAAGUUGAUGGAAAAAAGGAAACAUUUGGUAUGGACCUCAUGUGUUGCCUAUUGUAUUGAUCUCAUAUUAGUAGAGAUUGACGAGCUCAAAAAUAUGAAGGAGACUCUCUCAACUAGCUGAUCCCCAGAUUAAAAACCAGUAUCGGAACCAACUAGGGAAUCUUUCAAAAAUAGGCAUUUUUAUCUGAAUAAACCAGGUAUGGGAAUUAUUUAAGUUUUGAUAUGCAAAUACUU